CGCCUUCCCCGGCCGGGCGGGGACGGGAGGCGGAGGCGCUGCGGGGCGGGAUCCCAGGUGAUCGGCGGCGGCUACACCCACUCACCGCCCCCGGAGGGCACAGGAAUCACUCCAGUUCAAGAGAAGAAGUGGCUGUCCUACUCAACGCUGAGCAUCAUGCUGCUUCUGUUAAAAUUAGUGGUUCAUCCAAACUGCAGGUGCUGUUAGACCCUGAGCCUGGAUGCAGGUGCUGGCUGGGAUAAGCUGUAUAUUGCACAGACACAUUCAUGAAAUCACAAACAACUUUGGUUAUUUUAAAAGCAUUGGGAAAACAAGCAACAAGAGAAAAACAAGUAAAAAAUCCAGAAGUAGAAAUAUCCCAUUUAACUGCUUUCUUACAGAAAUUAAACUAUAUUCUCCAAGAAAAUGUUUGAUAUGUCUAAAUUAAA